UCUUCAUUUCACGUGCUCUCUCAUCGGUCUGAGAGGAGAGAGAGUGAGUGGGAAAUGAAGAGA
rnacentral:pre_miRNA from 1 species